rfam:Hymenolepis nana genome assembly, scaffold: HNAJ_contig0006064
GGGGUGCUAGAUAGACUUACCUCCACGCGGUGUACCCUGGGCAACGUAUACUCAUCAUACGGCAAAUAAGUCAAU